UAUAUAUAUAUAUAUAUAUAUAUAUAUAUAUAUAUGUAGUCGUCCCUCAAAAAGUACGGUUUCGGUUUUAUAUGGAUUUUUUAGGAUCUUUAAAUUUCCCACUCGUUGCACCAAGUAACCCUGUCGUGAGUGGCAACACUGUUCUACCAAAACACCUGCUGAAAGCACCUCAAAGCGUUCGAAAAAGGUGUUCAUCUUGCAGAAGAAUUCAGAUUUCGGAUAAGUUACUCUUCAGGAUGAGUUACUUAUGGAGAGCAUACCACGUGAAUAAGAGCAGUGUUCACUGUAUCUAUCACAGUGUAAAAGAAAUUCUUGCCACAGUAACUGCCAGUGCUCCAAGAGUGCUGCAAGAGUGGAGAUAAAGGCCGUCCUUUUACUAAACCUGGUCGUUGCUAUGGUGACGGCGUCUCACACGCAGUAAAAUGACGUACUCUGAUCUUCCUGUCAGUGCGUUUGAGAGAGUGAGUUGGGACGUCUCGGGCGCCCAGACCACCCCUGGCGAUGUUUAACAUGCAUAACUAGCUGUCCUGGCUGACGAACUCCUUACAACAGAAGAUGAAAAGGAAGCUGCAGUGGUUAUGGUGGUACAGAGAGGUGGUAAAUGCAAUGGAAACACUUAUAUGUGUUUAUUUGGGCUGCAGUGUUUGCUGAUGACGUCAUCACAGCACGAAGGCGCUCCACCUCUCAAAGCCGAGAGCCAGCGGACUCCCGAGUUGGCAACCCAUGCUGCUGUGCUACGUGUUUGAGAGAACCUGGGACAUCCCGGGUGCCGAGACCACCCGGAGCCCUCUAUCAAAUGCUCUUGUGCGCCUCUCAGUUAAGCCUCAUCAUUGCUAUGGUAACGGCGUCUCACUGGCAGCAGAAUGGCGUCCGUUGCUCUUUCUCUUGCUGUUCUGGCAGCAAAAUGGCAUCCGCUGAUCUUCCUGACGACGUUUAAACAUGCAUCACUACCUGUCCUGGCCGACGAGCUCCUUGCAACAGAGGAUAAAAAGGAAGUUGCAGUGGUUUUGGUAGCACAGGGAGGUGAAAUGCAAUGAAAGCACUUAUAUGUGAUUGUUUGGGCCGCCAUAUUUGCUGAUGACAUCAUCACCCCGUGCGGGGGAGAGAUCAAAAUACAGGUAAUUCUCAAUUUACGCGAGCUUGGUUUACACGUUUUUGAAAUAAAGCGGGAUCCAAAAUCAAAAGAAAUGUUUAAUUUACACGUUUUUUCACUUAUACGCGAUAUUUUAUGGAUUGGCCACCAGAUGUCUCACGCAACUGGACUCACACGGCCACACAGCUGAGCUCAGUUCUUCCCGCGCACCACUUGAACAACAAUACAGUACCCCCCACGCUGCCAUGCUACACAACAAUAGGGGUGGGCAGGUACCGGUACCAGUACCGGUACUAACGGUACCAGCUAUACAGUAUGGUACCGGUACCAGACUGCUCGGUAUCGGUACCAAUACUAGCUGGCUGAUCUUAUCUAUAUAGUGGUCUUGACUUCCCAUAAUAUUUUCAUCUCAGUACAAUAAAAAAUAACAAUUUAAAAAAAAAAAGCCGCUCGCCUUAAUCUGUACUUGUUUUUAUCACUAGUCAUUAAUCUCUGAGGGGGUGGGGUUUGGGGAAGGGAUUGUGAAAAAAAGGAUGUUUUGUGAUAGGUUAGCUAAUUCUUUCAAUAGAUAUAAAAAUCUUCCUGAAAAAAGGUUAGCUAAUUCUUUAAAUAGAUAUAAAAAUCUUCCUGAAAAAAGUUUCAUUUGUAGUAUAAGAUGGCUAUAAUUCUAGAACUGUACCACUAAAUCUACCCUAACCUAACCUGACAUGGUAUUUAUUUCCUUUAUAGCUGUGUACUUUUUUUGGUGGAGUUUUCUUGCAUUUGAUAUUUUUUUAUAGUUCUUUUGAGUGUUUUGAGGCAUCAUUUGUUGUGGAAAUGAAUAGUAUCAUUAACCUGUACAGCGUCAGAUACGUAUGACGUACGUAUUAUUUUUUUAAACCAUUGAGCGUCAGAUACGUUCAUUGUACGUAUUUAAUGUAUUAUUUUUUCCUGUCGCUGGAGUGAUCGAGGGUGAUUUCUGUGGUGGUGCCCUAGUAGAGUGAUCCUUUGGGAAUACUGACCACCCAAUAUAUUUCAUUUAUUCCCAUAACUGGCAGACCUGGCAGCUAUUGUUCUGGGUACACUUUUUUAUUUGUGUGGAUGUUGAAAGUGGUUUUGGAGACUGUGAUGUGGAAAUUGGAGUGGUUGGUGGUUGGAAGGUGGUUUGACAGUGUUGUGGGUGAGGCAUAGUGGGUAUACUGAUGUCCAGAACCAGCAAUUUUGUAUGGGCAAUUUUGGUAAGGAGGGGGCCAUGUAAAGGAUGGGUGGUAAUGAAAUGGGUGUUGGAUGGUGGCCAGGAUGGUGGUAGUGGGGUCAGAGCGAAGUUGGAUGAAAGCUACUUGAGGUGCUGACGGUCACACACAGCAAUUUUACACUGGCAGUUUCUCUACAAAAUGGGCCGUGAGCUAGGUGUGAGGUCCUGAAAAGGUGAGUGUGAGAAGAUGGUUGUUGGGGGAUGCGGAAGUGAGAAGAGGGUGGGUUUUGACCGAGGCACACUCUGUCAGACGCUGGCCAGUCAUGGCAAUGGUUUACUGGCAUAUAUUGUUCGUAAUAAUACCAAAAACAUACCGUGAACUCAGCAAUUAUGAACCUUCUAUAAACUGUAAUUGCAUGAGCGAACACUCUUGUGGGUGACUGUACAUUGAGCUGAACUAUCUAAAUGCUCAAAAUGAGUUACUCUCUAACAAUAUAUAUAAGUCUGUGCUAAAUAUGUUGAGAGAAAUCGAUUUACUUGGAUAUGUACCCUCAAAUCCAUGAAAGUCUAUAGAAAUCAUCACAACCAUUUCGCUUCCCAACUCCAUAGAAAUGGCCCAAAACACCGACUUCUAGGUGAUGGUAAGCUGAAAGACAUUACAUUUCUUAAUUUUUCAUGGUUUUAAGCUGUUUUGUGCAAAAAAAAAUUGAUUUUUCCUCCGACGCUGUGGUGGGGAGGAAAUUCCAAAAUUCCAAAAUGCUGUACGGGUUAAGGGGGGUGACUAAAGGUAUUUUUUUAUGAAUAUAUUUAAAAUCGGACAAAUAGGUUUUUUUCGCUCAGCAUGGGCGGGAUAGCCAAAAUUCCCAUGUGGUGAGGUUUGUUUUCGUAAAAUUAAAGCCCCUCACCCCUGGAAGCCAUAAUUAAAUGGCCCGCGCUAUUGUGUCAUAGCCUGACUCGCGCCCCAACACAUACUGUAUCAUUCAGUGCUCGUAUGUACGUAAAAUUUGCAUUAGAAUAUUUUUUUUCUCCGUAAAUUUUGUCAUCUGUCAUUCCUCUCGUGCCGGAUCGCAGGGAGGGUGUGAGUUGAGGAGAGGAGUGUGGUGGAGCCAGUCCCUACCCAGACAACAGCGAGGAAGGGCACGCAACCUGUUCGUUUGUACUCCAGCCAAAUAAAGGUCUUUUGAAAUGACGUACAAACGCAAGUUGAGUAGCAAGAGAGACAUCAACAUGAAGAAGGCUUAUUGAACAAGUUGGAGCAGCCAAGACCAGGAAGAGAGCAGUUUCGGAGCUUAUGAAGCGAGUCGUGAUCCUGCCAUGCACACCCGCCGCUCGUCACCACAACCACCUGCUCCUCCACCAGCUGAUUCGCCACUCUCUACACCGAGUACCUCAUCACGCCCUUCUCCACCACCACCUGCUUCAUCUCCACCUACUCCACCACCACAUACAUCACCACCAGCUGCAGAAUCAUUGCCACUUGAAACAUCACUGCAGCUCAAACAACAAAUUCUGCACAGAGGUGUUCAGUUGAACCCUCCUCCUUCUGAUACAAGCGAAACUUUCAUCACCGUGUCGCUUUCCCAACUACAGACACUCAUCGUGAGACAGAAGUGCCCAGUACGGUCGUGCAGGAAUACCUUGACCGUAACUUCUACAAUGAGGAAGGUGGCGCCUUCUGACACCCUCACCUGCGAGUGAGUAAUACUUUUUUAUACAGGGGGACCAGAUGCCUUAGCAUUCUCCUGUAAGUCAACAAGGUAUACACAAUCAUAUGUGAAAAUUUCAUGCCAAUCAGAUAAAUACAAAUGGCAAGCCAUGGAUAGAAUGGAAACAAAUCUUUAGGAGCCAAUAUCUCUGAAAGUAGUUUUUUACACUUCAAAAAAUUUCACAAAAUCAGGAAAAAGUCUGUCCGACUUUUGUUUGGUACCAACUGAAACUACAACCAAAGGGCAAUUUUUUGUUUAUGAAAUUUCAAAAAUGUAAAAAGAAAACAGGACACAGAGUAGAGAAAGUUGUAAGUGAAAAAAAUUGCAAUUUUUUUUUGCUCGAAGACAAAACAACAUAUCACAAUUUUAUAAAUACAAAAUGUAGAUAUGUAAACAAAGUUUCUAUGUUUUUCUUUUCACAGCGAUUAACUGAAAAAUAAAGUGUGAAACAAAAAAUAGAAAAUUUCACUUUAUUUGAGUCUCCCCUAUACUUCACCCGAAUUUCAUGAAAUUCACACAAUGUCAUAUAUUUACAGAUACAAAUAACAUACUAAGAGUUCAAAGCUAUUGGAUGUACCAUAUGGGCAGGAGGACCCCCCCACCCCCCCCCAUAGUCGCCCCCCUUGAUAUGACCAUUACCCAAAACGAUAAAAUGAGGAAACACAAGUGUACACUGGGCUAUUUACACUCCAUAGGGCAGGACCUGCCUGGACCAUUUCAAUCAAGCAGCUCUCCAUCUCCCAAGUCCACAAAACAGCUAGCAUGUUAAGGGGAGGCGCCGCCAAAAAUGGGUAUUUUUCACUAUUCCAACCAAGUUAUAAAAGUUAUUUAGAAAAAUAGCUGAACAUGUCUCACAUUCUCUGUGAAAGUUUAGCAGCUGUCCGAUAAUUCUCUCCCUUUCAAAUAAAUUGAUUUGUAUUAUUAACUCUGAGGGGACCAGCUGCAGAAAUGUCCGUUUUCUAUUGAAUAUUCACCUAUGUUUCAUUUUGCCUUCUUUUGUCAUCAACUCUCUUCAGAGGUACUACAUGAAGGUCACCAAAAGAUAAUGAGAACAAAACUGUCACAAGUAUGAGAUCUGACAUAAUGGCUUCCUACUUUCAUGCUAUUGAGUCAGAUGAAUUUCCUAAAUGUCUCCAAUUAUGUCCUAGAAGUGGAGACUCACGGUGCUUUUAUAUGAGAGCACAUGGUAAAGGAGAAACUCCAUGUUCACAUUCUGAAAAGCCACCAUUUCUCAGCAGAAUUCCUAAGGAAAACCGUGUUCAAAUAUUGAAGAUUUAAUUGACCUGACAUCAACAUAACUGCUAGAAAGGUGUCUCAUGGGGUGUACACAAAACCCUAAUGAAAGCCUGCACUCCAAACUGUGGACAAAAUUCAGCAAGACCAAGUUUGCAGGACUAAACAGAGUCAACUUCUUGGCAAAGACUAAUAUCUUAGAUCAUAACUUCGUAUACAGAAAUAUAUCACUUCUGAUGCACCUUGGGUUUGUUGCUUCUGAAAACACUUUGGCAGGUUUGGACGUCCAGGAAAAGAAAAGGAAAAGCCCAGAAGAAAAGAAAGUGACAAAGAAGAAGAAACAGGAGGCAUCCACAGAGCACUACAGCUCAGGAGAUUUCUAGUGCAUGCACACACACACACACACACACACACACACACACACACACACACACACACACACACACACACA